CGGAGGGUGCAAGCGUUAUCCGGAUUUACUGGGUUUAAAGGGUGCGUAGGUGGAUAAGAAAGUCAGUGGUGAAAUCUUCGGGCUUAACCCGGAAACUGCCAUUGAUACUAUUUGUCUUGAAUACUUUGGAGGUAAGCGGAAUAUGUCAUGUAGCGGUGAAAUGCUUAGAUAUGACAUAGAACACCAAUUGCGAAGGCAGCUUACUACACAGAAAUUGACACUGAGGCACGAAAGCGUGGGGAUCAAACAGGAUUAGAUACCCUGGUAGUCCACGCCCUAAACGAUGGAUACUCGACAUUAGCGAUAUACUGUUAGUGUCUGAGCGAAAGCAUUAAGUAUCCCACCUGGGAAGUACGAUCGCAAGAUUG
rnacentral:rRNA from 1 species